AGUGGCGGACGGGUGAGUAACGCGUGAGAAUCUGCCUUGGGGUCGGGGACAACCACUGGAAACGGUGGCUAAUACCGGAUAAGCCGAUUGGUGAAAGAUUUAUUGCCCGAAGAGGAGCUCGCGUCUGAUUAGCUAGUUGGUGAGGUAAGAGCUCACCAAGGCAGCGAUCAGUAGCUGGUCUGAGAGGACGAUCAGCCACACUGGGACUGAGACACGGCCCAGACUCCUACGGGAGGCAGCAGUGGGGAAUUUUCCGCAAUGGGCGAAAGCCUGACGGAGCAAGACCGCGUGAGGGAGGAAGGCUCUUGGGUUGUAAACCUCCUUUCUCAGGGAAGAAGCUCUGACGGUACCUGAGGAAUCAGCCUCGGCUAACUCCGUGCCAGCAGCCGCGGUAAUACGGAGGAGGCAAGCGUUAUCCGGAAUUAUUGGGCGUAAAGCGUCCGCAGGUGGCAAUUCAAGUCUGCUGUCAAAGCACGGGGCUUAACUCCGUUAAGGCAGUGGAAACUGAAUAGCUAGAGUGCCGUAGGGGUAGAGGGAAUUCCCGGUGUAGCGGUGAAAUGCGUAGAGAUCGGGAAGAACAUCGGUGGCGAAAGCGCUCUACUGGACGGCAACUGACACUCAGGGACGAAAGCUAGGGGAGCGAAUGGGAUUAGAUACCCC
rnacentral:rRNA from 1 species